GAUGAACGCUGGCGGCGCGCCUAAUACAUGCAAGUCGAGCGAACAGACGAGGAGCUUGCUCCUCUGACGUUAGCGGCGGACGGGUGAGUAACACGUGGAUAACCUACCUAUAAGACUGGGAUAACUUCGGGAAACCGGAGCUAAUACCGGAUAACAUGUUGAACCGCAUGGUUUAACAGUGAAAGACGGUCUUGCUGUCACUUAUAGAUGGAUCCGCGCCGCAUUAGCUAGUUGGUAAGGUAACGGCUUACCAAGGCAACGAUGCGUAGCCGACCUGAGAGGGUGAUCGGCCACACUGGAACUGAGACACGGUCCAGACUCCUACGGGAGGCAGCAGUAGGGAAUCUUCCGCAAUGGGCGAAAGCCUGACGGAGCAACGCCGCGUGAGUGAAGAAGGUCUUCGGAUCGUAAAACUCUGUUAUUAGGGAAGAACAAAUGUGUAAGUAACUAUGCACGUCUUGACGGUACCUAAUCAGAAAGCCACGGCUAACUACGUG
rnacentral:rRNA from 1 species